rnacentral:misc_RNA from 1 species
GAAAUGCGAUAAGUAAUGUGAAUUGCAGAAUUCAGUGAAUCAUCGAAUCUUUGAACGCACAUUGCGCCCGCCAGCACUCUGGCGGGCAUGCCUGUUCGAGCGUCAUUUCAACCCUCAAGCCCGGCUUGGUGUUGGGGUCCCACGGCCGCCGUGGGCCCUGAAAAUUAGUGGCGGGCCCGCCGAGGCUCCGAGCGCAGUAGCUUAACCUCGCUCGCGGUGCCGCGGCGGGCGUCGGCCGUAAAAACCCCCACUUUUGCAAGGUUGACCUCGGAUCAGGUAGGAAUACCCGCUGAACUUAA